CAGUCGCCGCGGUAAUACGGAGGGGGCAAGCGUUAUCCGGAAUUAUUGGGCGUAAAGGGUACGUAGGUGGCCUUUUAAGCGUAGGGUAUAAGGCAAUGGCUCAACCAUUGCUCGCCCUAUGAACUGGAAGGCUUGAGUGCAGGAGAGGAAAGCGGAAUUCCUAGUGUAGCGGUGGAAUGCAUAGAUAUUAGGAGGAACAUCAGCGGCGAAGGCGGCUUUCUGGACUGCAACUGACACUGAGGUACGAAAGCGUGGGGAGCAAACAGGAUUAGAUACCCCCGUAGUCCCUGUCUCUUAUACA
rnacentral:rRNA from 1 species